AAAACUCAGAGUUGGGCACUUAACUGACUGAGCCACCCAGGUGGCCCUGUAACCACUGCUUUUAAGGAACUUCUGAUCUAUUAAAGAGGGUGCACUCUUGACUGAAAAGGUUCUCUCUUGCUCUGCACGUUCUCGCUGAUGGAGAUGAGCUUCACAUGCAUCAGCUAAUGCUCGGAACCAACCAUGAGAGAGUUAAAAGGAGAGUCUCGUCUUUCUGAAUCACGAGCCUCCCUCCAAAACUACCUCAUCACCAAGAACUUUCCUAACAUGUAUUUUCAAGUCCAACCUGGAAGCAGACAGGUGUUCCAAACAGGAUACGGCGUGAUAUAGAGAACUUGAAAGGAGGGCGUUUGACCUCUGCAGCCUGAAAUCAGGUGUGGGCAGAAGGAAACAAGACACCUGGUAAUUAAAGCAAACCCGUGGCCAGAUGAAUAAUAAAUACAGCAGAGAAACAGGGGGCGGUGUCCCCAGGGACCACCAGCUGUGGACUUCAGUGUGUGUCCGGUCAUACUUCGUGGAAACUGCGUACAUUAACAUUCAGAUGAAAUCUCGGAAAUGAAGAUCAUUCUUCCUUUCAAUCUGCAUUUAUUACAGCAGCAUGUUUGGAAUCAUUUUCUUUAUGACAUGUCAGGAUUAAAGCAUC